rnacentral:rRNA from 1 species
CCUACGGGAGGCAGCAGUGGGGAAUAUUGCACAAUGGGGGAAACCCUGAUGCAGCGACGCCGCGUGAGUGAAGAAGUAAUUCGUUAUGUAAAGCUCUAUCAGCAGGGAAGAAAAUGACGGUACCUGAGUAAGAAGCCCCGGCUAACUACGUGCCAGCAGCCGCGGUAAUAAGUAGGGGGCAAGCGUUAUCCGGAUUUACUGGGUGUAAAGGGAGCGUAGACGGCAGUGCAAGUCUGGAGUGAAAGGCGGGGGCUCAACCCCCGGACUGCUCUGGAAACUGUACGGCUGGAGUGCAGGAGAGGUAAGUGGAAUUCCUGGUGUAGCGGUGAAAUGCGUAGAUAUUAGGAGGAACACCAGUGGCGAAGGCGGCUUACCGGACUGUAACUGACGUUGAGGCUCGAAGGCGUGGGGAGCAAACAGGAUUAGAUACCCUAGUAGUC